rnacentral:rRNA from 1 species
ACUCCUACGGGAGGCAGCAGUGGGAAUAUUGGACAAUGGGGGCACCCUGAUCCAGCGAUGCCGCGUGUGUGAAGAAGGCCUGAGGGUUGUAAGCACUUUUAGUGGGGAGGAAGUUAACAGGUUAAGAGCUAGUUAAGUUGACGUUACCCACCAUAACAGCACCGGCUAACUCCGUGCCAGCAGCCGCGGUAAUACGGGGGUGG